CCUUUUAAGUCAGCGGUGAAAGUCUGUGGCUCAACCAUAGAAUUGCCGUUGAAACUGGGAGGCUUGAGUAUGUUUGAGGCAGGCGGAAUGCGUGGUGUAGCGGUGAAAUGCUUAGAUAUCACGCAGAACCCCGAUUGCGAAGGCAGCCUGCCAAGCCAUGACUGACGCUGAUGCACGAAAGCGUGGGGAUCAAACAGGAUUAGAUACCCUGGUAGUCCACGCAGUAAACGAUGAUCACUAGCUGUUUGCGAUACACGGUAAGCGGCACAGCGAAAGCGUUAAGUGAUCCACCUGGGGAGUACGCCGGCAACGGUGAAACUCAAAGGAAUUGACGGGGGCCCGCACAAGCGGAGGAACAUGUGGUUUAAUUCGAUGAUACGCGAGGAACCUUACCCGGGUUUGAACGCAUUCGGACCGAGGUGGAAACACCUUUUCUAGCAAUAGCCGUUUGCGAGGUGCUGCAUGGUUGUCGUCAGCUCGUGCCGUGAGGUGUCGGCUUAAGUGCCAUAACGAGCGCAACCCUUGCCACUAGUUACUAACAGGUGAAGCUGAGGACUCUGGUGGGACUGCCAGCGUAAGCUGCGAGGAAGGCGGGGAUGACGUCAAAUCAGCACGGCCCUUACAUCCGGGGCGACACACGUGUUACAAUGGCGUGGACAAAGGGAAGCCACCUGGCGACAGGGAGCGAAUCCCCAAACCACGUCUCAGUUCGGAUCGGAGUCUGCAACCCGACUCCGUGAAGCUGGAUUCGCUAGUAAUCGCGCAUCAGCCAUGGCGCGGUGAAUACGUUCCCGG
rnacentral:rRNA from 1 species